UGAAGUAAUGCCAGAAAUGGAAACAUUUCAUGACACCGGUGAUUAAAAAUUCACAUAAGAUGCAUUGGUUGCAAUGAAGUAGAAUGUGGAAGAAGCGAAAAUUGAUGGCAACGAACUUUUUAUGUCUUAUG